AACGCACGAGACCUGCGGACCUGCGGAGGGAUCAUUACUGAGUGAGGGCCCCUCGGGGUCCAACCUCCCACCCGUGUUUAACGAACCUUUGUUGCUUCGGCGGGCCCGCCUCACGGCCGCCGGGGGGCUCCUGCCCCCGGGCCCGCGCCCGCCGAAGCCCCCCCUUGAACGCUGUCUGAAGUUUGCAGUCUGAGAAACUAGCUAAAUUAGUUAAAACUUUUAGCAACGGAUCUCUAGAUC
rnacentral:misc_RNA from 1 species